UGCACAAUGGGCGAAAGCCUGAUGCAGCAAUGCCGCGUGUGUGAAGAAGGCCUGCGGGUYGUAAAGCACUUUCAGUAGGGAGGAAACAGUUGCGGGUUAAUAUCCCGCGACCUUGACGUUACCYACAGAAGAAGCACCGGCUAACUCUGUGCCAGCAGCCGCCGGUAAUACAGAGGGUGCAAGCGUUAAUCGGAAUUACUGGGCGUAAAGCGCGCGUAGGCGGCUUGGUCAGUCGGAUGUGAAAGCCCCGGGCUUAACCUGGGAAUUGCAUUCGAUACUGCCWGGCUAGAAUGUAGUAGAGGGAAGUGGAAUUCCGGGUGUAGCGCUVAAAUGCGUAGAUAUAUGGAGGAACAUCAGUGGCGAAGGCGACUUCCUGGACU
rnacentral:rRNA from 1 species